UCGGGGGUCGUCUAACGGUAGGACAACGGAUUUUGAUUCCGUCAAUGCAGGUUCGAUUCCUGCUCCCCGAUCCA
rnacentral:tRNA from 1 species